rnacentral:rRNA from 1 species
GACGAACGCUGGCGGCGUGCUUAACACAUGCAAGUCGAGCGAUGAAGCACCUUCGGGUGUGAAUUAGCGGCGAACGGGUGAGGAACACGUGAGAAAUCUGCCUUCAACACUGGGAUAACUCCGGGAAACCGGGGCUAAUACCGGAUAUGAAACCUGCGGGCAUCCGCGGGUUUGGAAAGUUUUUCGGUUGAAGAUGAUCUCGCGGCCUAUCAGCUUGUUGGUGAGGUAAUGGCUCACCAAGGCGACGACGGGUAGCCGGCCUGGGAGGGCGACCGGCCACACUGGGACUGAGACACGGCCCAGACUCCUACGGGAGGCAGCAGUGGGGAAUAUUGGGCAAUGGAGGAAACUCUGACCCAGCGACGCCGCGUGCGGGAUGAAGGCCUUCGGGUUGUAAACCGCUUUCAGUAGGGAAGAAGCGAAAGUGACGGUACCUAAAGAAGAAGCACCGGCUAACUAUGUGCCAGCCGCCGCAGUAA